GCAAGUCGAGCGCACUCUUCGGAGUGAGCGGCGGACGGGUUAGUAACGCGUGGGAAUAUACCCAGUUCUAAGGAAUAGCCACUGGAAACGGUGAGUAAUACCUUAUACGCCCUUCGGGGGAAAGAUUUAUCGGAAUUGGAUUAGCCCGCGUUAGAUUAGAUAGUUGGUGGGGUAACGGCCUACCAAGUCGACGAUCUAUAGCUGGUUUGAGAGGAUGAUC
rnacentral:rRNA from 1 species